UGAGGAAUAUUGGUCAAUGGGCGCAAGCCUGAACCAGCCAUCCCGCGUGCAAGAAGACGGCCCUAUGGGUUGUAAACUGCUUUUCCAGGGGGAGAAUUUUUCUGUCGCGACAGGAAUUGACGGUACCCUGGGAAUAAGCAUCGGCUAACUCCGUGCCAGCAGCCGCGGUAAUACGGAGGAUGCGAGCGUUAUCCGGAUUUAUUGGGUUUAAAGGGUGCGUAGGCGGAUUGAUAAGUCAGUAGUGAAAACCUGCAGCUUAACUGUAGACUUGCCGUUGACACUGUCAGUCUUGAGUGUGGUCAAGGUAGGCGGAAUGUGUAAUGUAGCGGUGAAAUGCUUAGAUAUUACACAGAACACCGAUUGCGAAGGCAGCUUACUGGGCCAUUACUGACGCUGAUGCACGAAAGCGUGGGGAUCGAACAG
rnacentral:rRNA from 1 species